rnacentral:tRNA from 1 species
GCUCUAAUAGCUUAAACAACAAAGCAUUGUUCUUGUAAACCAAAGACGGACCACCACCCUUAGAGCA